rnacentral:lncRNA from 1 species
AGUUUCGGCUGUGCUGUUUCCGGAGUCAAGUAUUGAGGUGGGUUCUGCUGUGACAGGGCUGUUGGAAAGUCGCCCCAAAUCCUGUUGAAGGAGGCUGAUUAGGCCUGGUCUGUGGCAGAAUGGUGCCCAAGCAGGGACCUCUGGACAGGAUGACAUGUCAUGCAAUAUUAAAAUGAAAAGUGACUUUGUGUGCUGGUAUAAGAAGAUCUUGAAGAUAGAGAUGACAGACCACCUGGACAAUGCUUCCUGAUCGUUUUUGUUAAAGUCUGGGAUGUCUUUGGCAUCUUCAUCUGCAUACCUUCUUUUGCUGCAGGAACACUCUGCUUGUAACAAGUACCACCUCAAUGGGGACCCGAAAUCUACUACAGCCUAGGAGAGCGAGGACCUACAGAAGCCCUGAGUGAGAAUAAUGGGAUGGAAAUCAGGGCAGGCUCUGCAGUACCUCAAGCUGGUGCAUCAUUUCUUAAAGGAGGACCAAAACUGCCAGAAUAGAAACUGUUAGAUCCUUAUGCUGAUUUCAAAGUUUGUUUUCUACUAGGGAUACAAUUUUUACCAUCUUUUGUCAAAGCUAACUCUUUUCGCAAAGUAGAUAGCUAAUGUUGUAAUGAGGUGAAAUGAUAAUAUAAAUCAUAGCAGUUUUCAGAGUCCAUGUGUAUGUAGUGAAUAAAACUUCCAAAAACUUA